UACAGAGGGGGCAAGCGUUGUUCGGAAUUACUGGGCGUAAAGGGCGCGUAGGCGGCCUGUUAAGUCGAACGUGAAAUCCCCGGGCUCAACCCGGGAACUGCGUCCGAUACUGGCAGGCUUGAAUCCGGGAGAGGGAUGUGGAAUUCCAGGUGUCGCGGUGAAAUGCGUAGAUAUCUGGAGGAACACCGGUGGCGAAGGCGGCAUCCUGGACCGGUAUUGACGCUGAGGCGCGAAAGCCAGGGGAGCAAACGGG
rnacentral:rRNA from 1 species